CGGUGUCCGAGUUGUAAUUUGAAGAUUGUAACCUUGGGGUUGGCUCUUGUCUAUGUUUCUUGGAACAGGACGUCACAGAGGGUGAGAAUCCCGUGCGAUGAGAUGCCCAAUCCUAUGUAAGGUGCUUUCGAAGAGUCGAGUUGUUUGGGAAUGCAGCUCUAAGUGGGUGGUAAAUUCCAUCUAAAGCUAAAUAUUGGCGAGAGACCGAUAGCGAACAAGUACAGUGAUGGAAAGAUGAAAAGAACUUUGAAAAGAGAGUGAAAAAGUACGUGAAAUUGUUGAAAGGGAAGGGUUUGAGAUCAGACUCGAUAUUUUGUGAGCCUUGCCUUCGUGGCGGGGUGACCCGCAGCUUAUCGGGCCAGCAUCGGUUUGGGCGGUAGGAUAAUGGCGUAGGAAUGUGACUUUGCUUCGGUGAAGUGUUAUAGCCUGCGUUGAUGCUGCCUGCCUAGACCGAGGACUGCGAUUUUAUCAAGGAUGCUGGCAUAAUGAUC
rnacentral:rRNA from 1 species